UUGGAGGGCAAGUCUGGUGCCAGCAGCCGCGGUAAUUCCAGCUCCAAUAGCGUAUAUUAAAGUUGUUGCAGUUAAAAAGCUCGUAGUUGAAUUUCGGGGUUAGUAAGUUGGCCAUGCCUUUGGUAUGCACUGGCUUUACUGAUUCCUCCUUCUUGACGAACCGUGAUGUCAUUAAUUUGGUGUUGCGGGAAAUCAGGACUGUUACUUUGAAAAAAUUAGAGUGUUUAAAGCAGGCUAACGCUUGAAUACAUUAGCAUGAAAUAAUGAAAUAGGACGUUAAUCCUAUUUUGUUGGUUUCUAGGAUCGACGUAAUGAUUAAUAGGGAUAGUUGGGGGCAUUAGUAUUCAAUUGUCAGAGGUGAAAUUCUUGGAUUUAUUGAAGACUAACUACUGCGAAAGCAUUUGCCAAGGAUGUUUUCAUUAAUCAAGAACGAAAGUUAGGGGAUCGAAGACGAUCAGAUACCGUCGUAGUCUUAACCAUAAACUAUGCCGACUAGGGAUCGGAUGAUGUUAAUUCUUUAAUGACUCAUUCGGCGCCUUACGGGAAAC
rnacentral:rRNA from 1 species